AGCCAAUCCCCUGCCUCAGUUCCUGGCAGGAGCUUUCCCAGAUGCCUGCAGCUGCCCUUCCCAGGCUGCUCUGGUGUCAAGGAACAAACCAUUGGGUUGUUUGGAGGUGGUGCCCUUGAGGUGUGAUACCCCACUUUGGGGACCUUUGCUCUUGUCCCUUAUGCAGCAUCACCUCUCAACCUGGGGCCCAGGGAGGCCUGACCAUGAGAAGCAUCUCUUCCAUCCAGGAACCAAGCUCUGCGCUGCAUCUCCAAGCCUGCAGAGAAAUGAUGUGUGACAGCCCACCUUGACAAAUCAGCACUGCUUACAGCCCCGCCACCACAAUGCCUUCACUCUGUCCAACUCCAAUUCCCUUUAAAGCAAUGGAAGGAAUCUGCUUUCCAAGAUCCCUUCAGAAGGAAAGAUUUGCAUUGUUUAAAGGAGAAGAAAAAUCA